rnacentral:rRNA from 1 species
CCUACGGGGGGCUGCAGUGGGGAAUAUUGGACAAUGGGCGAAAGCCUGAUCCAGCCAUGCCGCGUGUGUGAAGAAGGCCUUCGGGUUGUAAAGCACUUUCAGUGGGGAAGAAAGCCUUGGGGCUAAUACCCUCGAGGAAGGACAUCACCCACAGAAGAAGCACCGGCUAACUCCGUGCCAGCAGCCGCGGUAAUACGGAGGGUGCGAGCGUUAAUCGGAAUUACUGGGCGUAAAGCGCGCGUAGGCGGUCUGAUAAGCCGGUUGUGAAAGCCCCGGGCUCAACCUGGGAACGGCAUCCGGAACUGUCAGGCUAGAGUGCAGGAGAGGAAGGUAGAAUUCCCGGUGUAGCGGUGAAAUGCGUAGAGAUCGGGAGGAAUACCAGUGGCGAAGGCGGCCUUCUGGACUGACACUGACGCUGAGGGGCGAAAGCGUGGGUAGCAAACAGGAUUAGAUACCCCGGUAGUC